UACGGGAGGCAGCAGUGGGGAAUAUUGCACAAUGGGCGCAAGCCUGAUGCAGCCAUGCCGCGUGUAUGAAGAAGGCCUUCGGGUUGUAAAGUACUUUCAGUCGUGAGGAAGGUGUUAAGGUUAAUAACCUUAGCAAUUGACGUUAGCGACAGAAGAAGCACCGGCUAACUCCGUGCCAGCAGCCGCGGUAAUACGGAGGGUGCGAGCGUUAAUCGGAAUUACUGGGCGUAAAGGGCACGCAGGCGGUUAAUUAAGUUGGAUGUGAAAUCCCCGGGCUUAAACCUGGGAAUGGCAUUCAAGACUGGUUAGCUAGAGUCUUGUAGAGGGGGUAGAAUUCCAUGUGUAGCGGUGAAAUGCGUAGAGAUGUGGAGGAAUACCGGUGGCGAAGGCGGCCCCUGGACAAAAGACUGACGCUCAUGUGCGAAAGCGUGGGGAGCAAACAGGGAUUAGAUACC
rnacentral:rRNA from 1 species